GCAGCGCAGACCUGAGUUCUCGCGAGUGUUCCAGGGUCGGGCCGCAAGCUCAGCGGGAAUUUUCAAACUCUUGAGAAAAAGGUAGGGGCGGGAGGAGAUGGGAAAAGGAGGAAGAGAAGGCAGGGUCGGGAAGGGCUGGCUAUUUGCAUAAAGCAGGUCCUCCCCGCCGUCUGAGGAGCCCAAAGAAGAAAAAACUACGAAUCCCACAAUUCCUCGCGCGCCAAACCGCCCCAGUGGCGUGCACCUACCCAGACGUAGUGCCGGGAAUGGUAGUCUUCGCCGGAGGUCGCGCGGGGCGUGAUCCGCCCAACUCGCUUUCCCGCGAGAUGAUGUUUGUGCAAAACCAUAAUAGACUGGGUAUACGCCUUUGUGUGAACUGGUGAUAUUUCAUUCUACUGGGUUUGCAUGGAGCUGCCACGGCAGGCAUAUAUACCCAAAGAACCAUAGAGCCACAGGGAAUGGCUGACAGGUAGUCAGACAACAAACAACAAAACAACAAAUGCCAAUAGAACUGUCUUUCUCACUGUGCGCCAAUGGUUCAACAUGACACAACUGUGGGAACCUUAAACCAUCUGGAAUAGCAAAUCAUGACUUCCCUUGGAAGGCACAGAGCUACAGAUAAGACCGUGAGAUGCUAGGAGCAGCAGGGAGGAACUGAAACGAUGGAAUGUGUUCUGAAAUUAUGUGCAGAAGUUGGAAGCCCAGUCUCCAAGAACAGAACCCUGCUCAACUGGGGAAAGAGAGAGACAGUCCGGGAGUAUGGAUCAACCUGCCAACACCCAUGUCCAGUGUAGAAGCAAUUACAGAAGCCAGGUCAUCCACCUUCUGCAGCCCAUAAUGAUCCUGAGUCCAUACUACCAGAGGGAUAAGAAUAAGAAAACUCCCAGGAGUCAGUUAAGCGCACGUGGUGCGAAGCACAAGGACCAGCGUAAGGAUCUCGGUUCGCGUCCCCAGCUCCCCACCUGCAGGGGAGUCGCUUCACAGGCGGUGAAUCAGGUGGGAGCAAGAAAACAAAGGAACACAAAAGAAAACAAAGGUUCUUUCCAAUAACAAGAAACACAGGAAAACUGAAUGUGUUCCUGCCACAAUUCAGACUUGUUCAGAAAAGCAAACUCCAAUGAGAAUUUCUGCACUCACUCUGGGAAAAAUACAUUGCCAUUGUUCAUGGAUUAACUAGCAGUAAGUCAGCCAACACUGAUUGAACCCUAUCCAACAUUGCUAAUAAAACAUACUUACUAUAUCCUCACUCUCCAAAGCCCAAUAUAAUAACUCUAUAAAGUAGAUACAUUGAUAACGAUAGCCAGAGUAUCUUUUAUGAUUUAUCAAUUAUGACUUGAGAAGGCAACCACUUUUAUCAGUUCCAGACAUUCAGUAAUAUUACUAUUACCAAAAACUAGUCCUAAUGGAAAAUCUAUUUCAGGUAUCAUGGGGUGGGUGGGGUAAACAUCUUUGCUUUCUCUUUAAAUGUUUGAGAAAGAGCAAAUUGUGAUGAAUGAAAUAUGAUAUCUCGAUAAUGAAA